rnacentral:rRNA from 1 species
UGGGGGAUAUUGCACAAUGGGCGAAAGCCUGAUGCAGCGACGCCGCGUGGGGGAUGUAGGCCUUCGGGUUGUAAACUUCUUUUGCUCUGAACAAGGCAUGCUAAUGGGUGUGUUGAGUGUAGGGGUUGAUUAGCGCCGGCUAACUACGUGCCAGCAGCCGCGGUAAUACGUAGGGCGCGAGCGUUGUCCGGAAUUAUUGGGCGUAAAGGGCUUGUAGGUGGCUGGUUGCGUCUGUCGUGAAAGCUCAUGGCUUAACUGUGGGUUUGCGGUGGGUACGGGCUGGCUUGAGUGCAGUAGGGGAGGCUGGAAUUCCUGGUGUAGCGGUGGAAUGCGCAGAUAUCAGGAGGAAUACCGGUGGCGAAGGCGGGUCUCUGGGCUGUUACUGACACUGAGGAGCGAAAGCAUGGGGAGCGAACAGG